GAUGAACGCUGGCGGUAUGCCUAACACAUGCAAGUCGUACGAGAGUUUUUAACUCUAGUGGCGGACGGGGUGAGUAACACGUGAGAAUUUGCCUUUAGGAGGGGGACAACAAUCGGAAACGAAUGCUAAUACCCCCAUAUGCUUUCGAGUGAAAUGGAUUUUAUCCGCCUAGAGAGAAGCUCGCGGCUGAUUAGCUUGUUGGUAAGGUAAGAGCUUACCAAGGCGACGAUCAGUAUCUGGUUUGAGAGGACGAUCAGACACACUGGAACUGAGACACGGUCCAGACUCCUACGGGAGGCAGCAGUGGGGAAUUUUGGACAAUGGGCGAAAGCCUGAUCCAGCAAUGCCGCGUGAGUGAUGAAGGCCUUAGGGUUGUAAAGCUCUUUACCCGGGAUGAUAAUGACAGUACCGGGAGAA
rnacentral:rRNA from 1 species